CUAACUGGAGGACCGAACCGACUAAUGUUGAAAAAUUAGCGGAUGACUUGUGGCUGGGGGUGAAAGGCCAAUCAAACCGGGAGAUAGCUGGUUCUCCCCGAAAGCUAUUUAGGUAGCGCCUCGUGAACUCAUCUUCGGGGGUAGAGCACUGUUUCGGCUAGGGGGUCAUCCCGACUUACCAACCCGAUGCAAACUACGAAUACCGAAGAAUGUUAUCACGGGAGACACACGGCGGGUGCUAACGUCCGUCGUGAAGAGGGAAACAACCCAGACCGCCAGCUAAGGUCCCAAAGUCAUGGUUAAGUGGGAAACGAUGUGGGAAGGCACAGACAGCCAGGAUGUUGGCUUAGAAGCAGCCAUCAUUUAAAGAAAGCGUAAUAGCUCACUGGUCGAGUCGGCCUGCGCGGAAGAUGUAACGGGGCUAAACCAUGCACCGAAGCUGCGGCAGCGACACUAUGUGUUGUUGGGUAGGGGAGCGUUCUGUAAGCCUGCGAAGGUGACCUGUGAGGGUUGCUGGAGGUAUCAGAAGUGCGAAUGCUGACAUAAGUAACGAUAAAGCGGGUGAAAAGCCCGCUCGCCGGAAGACCAAGGGUUCCUGUCCAACGUUAAUCGGGGCAGGGUGAGUCGACCCCUAAGGCGAGGCCGAAAGGCGUAGUCGAUGGGAAACAGGUUAAUAUUCCUGUACUUGGUGUUACUGCGAAGGGGGGACGGAGAAGGCUAUGUUAGCCGGGCGACGGUUGUCCCGGUUUAAGCAU
rnacentral:rRNA from 1 species